rnacentral:rRNA from 1 species
GAUGAACGCUGGCGGCGUGCCUAAUACAUGCAAGUCGAGCGAACAGACGAGGAGCUUGCUCCUCUGACGUUAGCGGCGGACGGGUGAGUAACACGUGGAUAACCUACCUAUAAGACUGGGAUAACUUCGGGAAACCGGAGCUAAUACCGGAUAAUAUAUUGAACCGCAUGGUUCAAUAGUGAAAGACGGUUUUGCUGUCACUUAUAGAUGGAUCCGCGCCGCAUUAGCUAGUUGGUAAGGUAACGGCUUACCAAGGCAACGAUGCGUAGCCGACCUGAGAGGGUGAUCGGCCACACUGGAACUGAGACACGGUCCAGACUCCUACGGGAGGCAGCAGUAGGGAAUCUUACGCAAUGGGCGCAAGCCUGACGGAGCAACGACGCGUGAGUGAUGAAGGUCUUCGGAUCGUAAAACUCUGUUAUUAGGGAAGAACAAAUGUGUAAGUAACUAUGCACGUCUUGACGGUACCUAAUCAGAAAGCCACGGCUAACUACGUG